GACCCAAACCUUCACGCUAGACUGCUGGAAGAUAGCAGCUCUCCAGACCGCCUUUCUGAUGCAACUGUCACCACCACGGCAGAGCCAAGACAGGUGCCAGUAGCUAAUACAGCAGUCCUGCCCCAAUCCCAGGCACAGGGACGUGUUGCUGCUCCAG